rnacentral:rRNA from 1 species
UGUUCCCAUGCCGAACACAGAAGUUAAGCUCCUUAGCGCCGAUGGUAGUCGGACUGACGUUCCGCUAGAGUAGGACGUUGCCAGGCA